rnacentral:misc_RNA from 1 species
GAUGAAGAACGCAGUGAAAUGCGAUAAGUAAUGUGAAUUGCAGAAUUCCGUGAAUCAUCGAAUCUUUGAACGCACAUUGCGCCCCCUGGUAUUCCGGGGGGCAUGCCUGUUCGAGCGUCAUUUCACCACUCAAGCCUCGCUUGGUAUUGGGCAACGCGGUCCGCCGCGUGCCUCAAAUCGACCGGCUGGGUCUUCUGUCCCCUAAGCGUUGUGGAAACUUUCGCUAAAGGGUGUUCGGGAGGCUACGCCGUAAAACAACCCCAUUUCUAAGGUUGACCUCGGAUCAGGUAGGGAUACCCGCUGAACUUAAGCAUAUCAAUAAGCGGAGGA